AGGAUGAACGCUGGCGGUCUGCUUAACACAUGCAAGUCGAACGGGCGUAGCAAUACGUUAGUGGCGGACGGGUGAGUAACGCGUGAGAAUCUACCUUCAGGACGGAGACAACAGUUGGAAACGACUGCUAACCCCCGAUGUACCGAAAGGGCAAAUAUUUAUAGCCUGAAGAAGAGCUCGCGUCCGAUUAGCUAGUUGGAGAGGUAAAAGCUCACCAAGGCGACGAUCGGUAGCUGGUCUGAGAGGACGAUCAGCCACACUGGGACUGAGACACGGCCCAGACUCCUACGGGAGGCAGCAGUGGGGAAUUUUCCGCAAUGGGCGAAAGCCUGACGGAGCAAGACCGCGUGGGGAAGAAGGCUCUUGGGUUGUAAACCCCUUUUCUCUGGGAAGAAAGUUGUGAAAGCAGCCUGACGGUACCAGAGGAUCAGCAUCGGCUAACUCCGUGCCAGCAGCCGC
rnacentral:rRNA from 1 species